GACGAACCGUGCAAACGUUAUUCGGAAUCACUGGGCAUAAAGGGCGCGUAGGCGGCUCGACAAGUCAGGGGUGAAAUCCGGCAGCUUAACUGUCGCAGUGCCUUUGAUACUGUCGAGCUCGAGGGAGGUAGGGGUCUGUGGAACUUCCGGUGGAGCGGUGAAAUGCGUUGAUAUCGGAAGGAACGCCGGUGGCGAAAGCGACGGACUGGAUCUCUUCUGACGCUGAGGCGCGAAAGCCAGGGGAGCAAACGGG
rnacentral:rRNA from 1 species